GAUGGACCCGCGGUGCAUUAGCUAGUUGGUGAGGUAACGGCUCACCAAGGCAACGAUGCAUAGCCGACCUGAGAGGGUGAUCGGCCACACUGGGACUGAGACACGGCCCAGACUCCUACGGGAGGCAGCAGUAGGGAAUCUUCGGCAAUGGACGAAAGUCUGACCGAGCAACGCCGCGUGAGUGAAGAAGGUUUUCGGAUCGUAAAACUCUGUUGUUAGAGAAGAACAAGGAUGAGAGUAAAAUGUUCAUCCCUUGACGGUAUCUAACCAGAAAGCCACGGCUAACUACGUGCCAGCAGCCGCGGUAAUACGUAGGUGGCAAGCGUUGUCCGGAUUUAUUGGGCGUAAAGCGAGCGCAGGCGGUUUCUUAAGUCUGAUGUGAAAGCCCCCGGCUCAACCGGGGAGGGUCAUUGGAAACUGGGAGACUUGAGUGCAGAAGAGGAGAGUGGAAUUCCAUGUGUAGCGGUGAAAUGCGUAGAUAUAUGGAGGAACACCAGUGGCGAAAGCGGCUCUCUGGUCUGUAACUGACGCUGAGGCUCGAAAGCGUGGGGAGCGAACAGGAUUAGAUACCCUGGUAGUCCACGCC
rnacentral:rRNA from 1 species